AAUAGAUACCCAGGUAGUCCACGCCGUAAACUAUGGAUGCUAGCCGUCGGCAAGCUUGCUUGUCGGUGGCGCAGCUAACGCUUUAAGCAUCCCGCCUGGGGAGUACGGCCGCAAGGUUAAAACUCAAAGGAAUUGACGGGGGGCCCGCACAAGCGGUGGAGCAUGUGGUUUAAUUCGACGCAACGCGAAGAACCUUACCAGCUCUUGACAUGUCCGGACGGUUUCCAGAGAUGGAUUCCUCCUAGCAAUAGGCCGGAACACAGGUGCUGCAUGGCUGUCGUCAGCUCGUGUCGUGAGAUGUUGGGUUAAGUCCCGCAACGAGCGCAACCCUCGCCAUUAGUUGCCAUCAUUCAGUUGGGCACUCUAGUGGGACUGCCGGUGAUAAGCCGGAGGAAGGUGGGAUGACGUCAAGUCAUCAUGGCCCUUACGGGCUGGGCUACGACACGUGCUACAAUGGCGGUGACGAAUGGGCAGCAACACAGCAAUGUGAAGCUAGUCUCAAAAAGCCGU
rnacentral:rRNA from 1 species